AUAUCUUGUCUGGGGUGCCAUUGGCUGAGAAAUACCCAUUGAACCUGCUUUGGUUAGGACCAACGAAGGGAACGACAGGUAAUCACCGUC
rfam:Lactobacillus fermentum CECT 5716, complete genome.